rnacentral:lncRNA from 1 species
AAUAACAAAAAUUAAUGAAAAUGAAAAAUACAACAAAAAGAAUGUCACAAAAUAUAAUAAUGAUAGUAAUAAAACUAAUUAUGAUAAUAACAUAAAUAAUGACACUGAAUCUAAUUACGGUUUGCAAAAAGUAGAAUCAUUUGUAAUAGAUGAUUCAAAACGAAAAUCAAAUCAGAAAAAUGAGAAUGGUAUAGUUCUUAAUAGUGAAAUAAUAAAAACUAAUAGCAGAAAAGAUACGGACACUUUAAACAGAAAAAUAAAGAGUACAUCUAUUCCUGCAAUUGAUUCAAAGCAACUCAAAUUGACUUCUUUUUUUGAGUAAGGAUAAAAUUAUCAAAACAUCUAGUAAGACUGGCUAUAAUGAUAUACUAUUAAACAGAAAUGAUAAAAACGAGAGUCAAAAUGAUACACAACAACAAAGUAAUACAAAUGAAAAACGGAUAAACGAACAACAUAUAGAAGAUGAAAACGAAAUAGAAUAUAUCAACAUAAAUAAAAAAAAAAUAAAUAAAAAAGUACUAGAUGACGAAGAAAUGAUUGAAACGUUAUUACAAAACAAUGAUAAAAAUUGUGAAAUAGCUAAUAACAAAACAUAUAACCAUAAAGAAAAUGCUUCCACUACUGAUAAAGAAGGAUCAGGUGAGUUGGAUAAUUCUUCUGAUAGCGACGAUUCUAACAAAAAUAGAAAGUUUAAAAGAAAACUAAAAAAAAUAUACUGAGCAAGAAGAUGACAAUGAAAAUGAAAACGAAAACGAAGAAAAAUUAAAUACAUCUGAAGUUGUAAAGAAACAAAAAUUAUCGCACGAGAAAAAAAGAUUGCAAAAAAAACAAAUGAGACACAUGUUUGAGUUGGAAGCAGAAGAAAGUGAAGACGAAAAUAUAGAAGAUCCGGAGGAAAGAAGAAGAGCUCAACUCUUGAAAAAGGAAAAGGGUCUAAGAGAAGAAGAUGAAUCUGACAUAGAUGAACAAUAUAGUAGUGACGAAAUGAAUGAGUUUAUAAUUAACGAAGAUUGUAACAACAAUAAUGAUGAUGCUGCUAUUAAGUUAAGACAUAAACAAGAAAUGGAAAAAUUAGAGGAAGAUAUGUUUUUAAAAAAAAUUUACUUAUCAAGGAAAAGAAUUUGACAAAGAGUUAACAAAUAAAGAAAAAUUAGAACUUGAAAGAGAAAGACA